UGCAGUCGACGGCAGCACAGGAGAGCUUGCUCUCUGGGUGGCGAGUGGCGGACGGGUGAGGAAUACAUCGGAAUCUACCUUGUCGUGGGGGAUAACGUAGGGAAACUUACGCUAAUACCGCAUACGACCUACGGGUGAAAGUGGGGGACCGCAAGGCCUCACGCGAUUAGAUGAGCCGAUGUCGGAUUAGCUAGUUGGCGGGGUAAAAGCCCACCAAGGCGACGAUCCGUAGCUGGUCUGAGAGGAUGAUCAGCCACACUGGAACUGAGACACGGUCCAGACUCCUACGGGAGGCAGCAGUGGGGAAUAUUGGACAAUGGGCCCAGCCUGAUCCAGCCAUACCGCGUGGGUGAAGAAGGCCUUCGGGUUGUAAA
rnacentral:rRNA from 1 species